rnacentral:lncRNA from 1 species
GGAGUACACAAACUCUGUGCAUGCAGGUUUGAUGAUGCUAUCUAUUAUGUCUUUCAUUUAGACUCAAGAGGAUUUUCUUCUUCUCUAAAAGCACUUGAAGAUCCCAUUAAAACCUGGAAAUUUUGGUUCAGGCAAUUUCUGGGUUCUUCCCUACAAGUUCCAGGACCUUCAUCUUUAAAGUCGCCUUGUAUCUGCUCCAGAUGAAGAUGGACUUUGAUGACUUUGGAAGAAGGAAUGAGACUGAUAACUUGGUGCAACUGCUGCAUUUAAAUCUGAUUCAUCAGCCAGUCAAGACAUCAUCAGAAGGGACCAGGUGAAAAUGGAAGGACAAACCCCUGAGAAAUUGCUUGCAGC